rnacentral:rRNA from 1 species
GACGAACGCUGGCGGCGUGCUUAACACAUGCAAGUCGAACGGGCCUGUCUUCUUUUUUGGGGGUGGGUUGAGUGGCGAACGGGUGAGUAUCACGUGAGUAACCUGCCCUUCGGUCCUGGAUAACCGCUUGAAAGGGCGGCUAAUACGGGGUGGUCCGGUUGGUCCGCAUGGGCUGGUCGGGAUAGAUUCACUGUUUUUGGUGUUUCGGCGGGGGAUGGGCUCGCGGCCUAUCAGCUUGUUGGUGGGGUGAUGGCCUACCAAGGCGGUGACGGGUAGCCGGCCUGAGAGGGUGGGCGGCCACACUGGGACUGAGAUACGGCCCAGACUCCUGCGGGAGGCAGCAGUGGGGGGUAGUGCACAAUGGGCGGAAGCCUGAUGCAGCGACGUCGCGUGAGGGAGGGAGGCCUUCGGGUUGUGAACCUCUGUUUCCGGUGGUGAAGGCCCUGUCCGUGUGGCGGGGUUGACGGUAGCCGGGGAUGAAGCGCCGGCUAACUACGUG